UGGGCGCAAGCCUGAUGCAGCCGAUGCCGCGUGUGUGAAGAAGGCCUUCGGGUUGUAAAGCACUUUCAGUCGUGAGGAAGGUAGUGUAGUUAAUAGCUGCAUUAUUUGACGUUAGCGACAGAAGAAGCACCGGCUAACUCCGUGCCAGCAGCCGCGGUAAUACGGAGGGUGCGAGCGUUAAUCGGAAUUACUGGGCGUAAAGCGCAUGCAGGUGGUUUGUUAAGUCAGAUGUGAAAGCCCCGGGGCUCAACCUCGGAAUUGCAUUUGAAACUGGCAAACUAGAGUACUGUAGAGGGGGUAGAAUUUCAGGUGUAGCGGUGAAAUGCGUAGAGAUCUGAAGGAAUACCGGUGGCGAAGGCGGCCCCCCUGGACAGAUACUGACACUCAGAUGCGAAAGCGUGGGGAGCAAACAGGAUUAGAUACCCCUGGUAG
rnacentral:rRNA from 1 species